AGUGAACGCUGGCGGUAGGCCUAACGCAUGCAAGUCGAACGGCAGCACAGUAAGAGCUUGCUCUUACGGGUGGCGAGUGGCGGACGGGUGAGGAAUACAUCGGAAUCUACUUUUUCGUGGGGGAUAACGUAGGGAAACUUACGCUAAUACCGCAUACGACCUACGGGUGAAAGCAGGGGAUCUUCGGACCUUGCGCGAUUGAAUGAGCCGAUGUCGGAUUAGCUAGUUGGCGGGGUAAAGGCCCACCAAGGCGACGAUCCGUAGCUGGUCUGAGAGGAUGAUCAGCCACACUGGAACUGAGACACGGUCCAGACUCCUACGGGAGGCAGCAGUGGGGAAUAUUGGACAAUGGGCGCAAGCCUGAUCCAGCCAUACCGCGUGGGUGAAGAAGGCCCUCGGGUUGUAAAGCCCUUUUGUUGGGAAAGAAAAGCAGCAGGUUAAUACCCCGCUGUUCUGACGGUACCCAAAGAAUAAGCACCGGCUAACUUCGUG
rnacentral:rRNA from 1 species